rnacentral:rRNA from 1 species
GACGAACGCUGGCGGCGUGCUUAACACAUGCAAGUCGAACGGAAAGGCCCUGCUUUUGUGGGGUGCUCGAGUGGCGAACGGGUGAGUAACACGUGAGUAACCUGCCCUUGACUUUGGGAUAACUUCAGGAAACUGGGGCUAAUACCGGAUAGGAGCUCCUGCUGCAUGGUGGGGGUUGGAAAGUUUCGGCGGUUGGGGAUGGACUCGCGGCUUAUCAGCUUGUUGGUGGGGUAGUGGCUUACCAAGGCUUUGACGGGUAGCCGGCCUGAGAGGGUGACCGGCCACAUUGGGACUGAGAUACGGCCCAGACUCCUACGGGAGGCAGAAGUGGGGAAUAUUGCACAAUGGGCGGAAGCCGGAUGCAGCAACGCCGCGUGCGGGAUGACGGCCUUCGGGUUGUAAACCGCUUUCACCUGUGACGAAGCGUGAGUGACGGUAAUGGGUAAAGAAGCACCGGCUAACUACGUG